rnacentral:lncRNA from 1 species
AUAUUAUUGCCCUGGCCAGUUUCACCCUUUGGUGGAGGAGCUGGAGUCCGACAAGAUCAACAUCCGCAUGUCCAUGAUUCAGAAGGAGCGUGGCUCACACAGGCUCCCUCCAUCUAUGUUUAUAAGGUAUGAUAUAACUUUACAUUGUUUUCCAAAUAAUACUUUUAUUACUAAUUGGAGCCUCUAGAUAAAACCACCUAGGAUUCCUAAGUGGACACUCUAGAAAAAGAGAGAAAUCCUAUAAAUUCUCACAAAAAGCAAAACAUUAACAUCUGUCCAUCAAUCGGUAGACUCAAAUCAUCAUAGCCAUGAGAUCUAUUAUAUUUUCUAAAAAAUUACCCACCUAUGCCAUUAUAAAAAUAGAAUCCCCUAAAUCUAUAUCUAAAUUACCCACCUCUGCCAUUAUAUAAAAUUAACUAAAGUAACCCCUAAUCUUCAUCAAAAUUACCCACUCAUGCCAUUAUAAAAUAAUAUUUAAAAUAACCCCUAAAUUUGCAACUAAAUUGCCCACCACUAACCCUUAAAAAAAACUUAAAGUAACCCCUUAAAUUAGCAUCUAUAUUAUCCAUAUAUGCCAUAAUUAAAAAUAACAUGAGAUAACCCGACAUUUGAAUCCAAUCAACAAAAUUUAAAAUAUACAGCAAUAUAUGAGUCUAAAUCGUCUAUUUAUUACACUAUUGGUAUACGAUAUAAUAACUAAGGUAUAUACGCAUGAUGUGUGUCACCAUUUAUAAAGAUAUAGAGGAAGUGAUGAAAAUAUAGAUUUUUAUGUUAAAAUUAUAGCUCAAACUUAGGGUCCGUUAAACAAAUUCAAGCGCAUACUUAUGAUGCAAAGUGCAAAGUUAAAGAUUAUUAAUGUGGAUGAAAAUAUUAUAGAGUAAUUACUAACUAAAAUCUAUCACAAUCGGAUAAAGAUAAUAGGUAUAUAUCUAUAUAAGUAUUGUGUUUGAAUAUUUAACAAAUGAGAUGUAGCUCAUGGUAAUAGUUUUGUAGCAAUGUGGUCUUAUUUUUUUCAUUGGAGAGUCCACAUUAGUUCCCACUAGACACGCUAGAAAAAAAGACAAAUACUAGAAAUUCUCAACAAAAUCAAAAAUAUCAAAACACCAAUCAUGUAAACUCUAAUACUCAUAGUCAUUGAUCUAUUAUAUUUCUAAAAAGUUACCCACCACUAUCAUUAUGAAAAUAUUCAAAAAUAACUCUAAACCUAUAUCUAAAUUACU